AUACGGGCAAACUAGAGGAAUGCAGGGGAGAAUGGAAUUCCUGGUGGAGCGGUGGAAUGCGCAGAUAUCAGGAGGAACACCAGUGGCGAAGGCGGUUCUCUGGGCAUUUCCUGACGCUGAGAAGCGAAAGCGUGGGGAGCAAACAGGCUUAGAUACCCUGGUAGUCCACGCCGUAAACGGUGGGCACUAGGUGUGGGACUCAUUCCACGAGUUCCGUGCCGUAGCUAACGCAUUAAGUGCCCCGCCUGGGGAGUACGGCCGCAAGGCUAAAACUCAAAGGAAUUGACGGGGGCCCGCACAAGCGGCGGAGCAUGCGGAUUAAUUCGAUGCAACGCGAAGAACCUUACCUGGGUUUGACAUAUGCCGGAAAGCUGCAGAGAUGUAGCCCCCGCAAGGUCGGUAUACAGGUGGG
rnacentral:rRNA from 1 species